GACGAACGCUGGCGGCAUGCCUAAUACAUGCAAGUCGAACGCUGAAGCACUCUGCUUGCAGAGUGCGGAUGAGUGGCGAACGGGUGAGUAACACGUGGGAAAUCUGCCUAGGAGUGGGGGAUAACAUUCGGAAACGGAUGCUAAUACCGCAUAUCUUUUUGAACCGCAUGGUUCUUAAACGAAAGACGGCUUCGGCUGUCGCUCUUAGAUGAUCCCGCGGCGUAUUAGUUAGUUGGUGGGGUAAAGGCCUACCAAGACCAUGAUACGUAGCCGACCUGAGAGGGUGAUCGGCCACACUGGGACUGAGACACGGCCCAGACUCCUACGGGAGGCAGCAGUGGGGAAUAUUGCACAAUGGGCGAAAGCCUGAUGCAGCGACGCCGCGUGAGCGAAGAAGUAUUUCGGUAUGUAAAGCUCUAUCAGCAGGGAAGAUAAUGACGGUACCUGACUAAGAAGCACCGGCUAAAUACGUGCCAGCA
rnacentral:rRNA from 1 species